UCCCUGGUGGUCCAGUGGUUAGGACUCUGUGCUUCCACUCCAGGGGACACAGGUUCAAUCCCUGGUCUGAGAA
rnacentral:tRNA from 1 species